GUGGGGAAUAUUGCACAAUGGGGGAAACCCUGAUGCAGCGACGCCGCGUGAGUGAGGAAGUAUUUCGGUAUGUAAAGCUCUAUCAGCAGGGAAGAAAAUGACGGUACCUGACUAAGAAGCCCCGGCUAACUACGUGCCAGCAGCCGCGGUAAUACGUAGGGGGCAAGCGUUAUCCGGAUUUACUGGGUGUAAAGGGAGCGUAGACGGAGCAGCAAGUCUGAUGUGAAAAUCCGGGGCCCAACCCCGGAAGUGCAUUGGAAACUGUUGAUCUAGAGUGUCGGAGAGGCAAGUGGAAUUCCUGGUGUAGCGGUGAAAUGCGUAGAUAUCAGGAGGAACACCAGUGGCGAAGGCGGCUUGCUGGACGAUGACUGACGUUGAGGCUCGAAAGCGUGGGGAGCAAACAGG
rnacentral:rRNA from 1 species